UACGUAGGGUGCAAGCGUUGUCCGGAAUUAUUGGGCGUAAAGAGCUCGUAGGCGGUUUGUCGCGUCUGCUGUGAAAACCCGAGGCUCAACCUCGGGCCUGCAGUGGGUACGGGCAGACUAGAGUGCGGUAGGGGGAGAUUGGAAUUCCUGGUGUAGCGGUGGAAUGCGCAGAUAUCAGGAGGAACACCAAUGGCGAAGGCAGAUCUCUGGGCCGUAACUGACGCUGAGGAGCGAAAGCUAGGGGAGCAAACGGG
rnacentral:rRNA from 1 species